AGUGAACGCUGGCGGUAGGCCUAACACAUGCAAGUCGAACGGCAGCACAGUAAGAGCUUGCUCUUACGGGUGGCGAGUGGCGGACGGGUGAGGAAUACAUCGGAAUCUACUUUUUCGUGGGGGAUAACGUAGGGAAACUUACGCUAAUACCGCAUACGACCUACGGGUGAAAGCAGGGGAUCUUCGGACCUUGCGCGAUUGAAUGAGCCGAUGUCGGAUUAGCUAGUUGGCGGGGUAAAGGCCCACCAAGGCGACGAUCCGUAGCUGGUCUGAGAGGAUGAUCAGCCACACUGGAACUGAGACACGGUCCAGACUCCGACGGGAGGACGCAGUGGGGAAUAUUGGACAAUGGGCGCAAGCCUGAUCCAGCAAUACCGCGUGGGUGAAGAAGGCCUUCGGGUUGUAAAGCCCUUUUGUUGGGAAAGAAAAGCAGCAGGUUAAUACCCCGCUGUUCUGACGGUACCCAAAGAAUAAGCACCGGCUAACUUCGUG
rnacentral:rRNA from 1 species